AAAAGACUCUCUCUCUCACUUCACAUUCAGAGAAGGCAGACUCGGAGUCGGAGGUGCUCAGGUGAAGAGUCUGGCGACCUCGUCGCCGCUGCGACGUCCAACAUCCUACGUGUAGAGUCCGUCGUGGGACUCGCACGAUGACUAAAAGACGGCGACGACGGCGUCGUUCCACUCAACGCCGGUGCUGAGCCCCGGCGGGGUAGCCGUUGCACUCUCACAGUCUCACUACUCUUCCACCGUCGGCCACCACUCCCGUGAGUCUUCCUUCAGCCGGUUCUUGGUCGGAUCUCGCAAGAUCUACCCGCCGACGCAGUCGAAAAACACCACCGCAAGGGCCAGAAAUUCUCCAUAAAAACUCGUCCGGUUCACCGUUUUUUUAAAAACUGGCUGGUUCUCUCGGUUUAAAGUGGUUCAUAUACAUUUUCAGUAAAAUAAUAAAACCAAACCGGUAUGAGGUCCGAUUCCCGGUUGAACCGGUUUGAUCGGCCGGUUCGGUUCGGUUCUGAUAAUACUGAACCUAUUAGGUUAAAUAAAAGGCUUAAUUUCACAAAUACCCUCUAAACUAUUGCCUUUUAUCAUUUUUACACUAUUAUUUAAAAAAUAAAUUAUAUUGACCCUCUUAACUAUUUAAUUAUAUCAUUUACACUCCUCCUAUUAUUAAUCUGUUUGAAAUGGUGAUGAAAAUUGAUCAAGUGUUAUCCAUUUACUUAAAUUAAAUGCCCUUAUAUCUAAAUAUUUUUAUUUUUUACAAAAAAUAAGUCAACACCCUAUUUAAAGGCUUACUAAUAAGGGUUAGGUUUGUUCCCAUAAUAGCCGAAUAAUCUUAUAUAUGGAGUAUUGACUUAUGUUUUAUAAAAAAAUAAUGGUAUUUUAGAAAUGAGGGCAUUUAAUUUAAACACAUGAAUAACACGUGAUAUAUUUUCAUCACUAUUUCAAAUAUAUUAGUAAUUGAAGGAGUGUAAGUAAUAUAAUUAAAUAGAUAAAGGGGUCAAUAGAAUUUACUUUUUAGAUGAAGGGGUAAUGUGAUAAAAUGUGAUAGUUUAGGGGUAUUUAUAAAAUUAACCCGAGUAAAAUUGGGAUACCAUUUUGGUAAUAGUUCCUACUUUGUAUGCCCCAAAGAGUUUUUGUGCAAAUUUUAAGGCAUUGUUUGGAUUAAGAAAAGAAAAUAAAAAAGUUAGAGGAUACAGCGAUUCAAAUAACCUUUUUUUCUUUAUUGUUUUUUUUCCUUCAGAAAUGCAUGGUCUCGAUCUAAAUGUGAGACUGACUCAAUUUUUACAGAAUAAUGCGGGUCGAGCUUGUUACAAAUGUUACGGAAAUCAUACAUAUUUGGAAAAAUAUGAAAAAAUUUAC
rnacentral:lncRNA from 1 species